rnacentral:rRNA from 1 species
GAUGAACGCUAGCGAUAGGCUUAACACAUGCAAGUCGAGGGGCAGCAUGGUCUUAGCUUGCUAAGACUGAUGGCGACCGGCGCACGGGUGCGUAACGCGUAUGCAACUUGCCUCACAGAGGGGGAUAACCCGUCGAAAGACGGACUAAUACCGCGUACACUUGGGAUAGGGCAUCCUGACCCAAGGAAAUGAAAUUCGCUGUGAGAUAGGCAUGCGUCCCAUUAGCUAGUUGGUGAGGUAACGGCUCACCAAGGCGACGAUGGGUAGGGGAACUGAGAGGUUGAACCCCCACACUGGUACUGAGACACGGACCAGACUCCUACGGGAGGCAGCAGUGAGGAAUAUUGGUCAAUGGGCGAGAGCCUGAACCAGCCAAGUCACGUGAAGGAUGACUGUCUUAUGGAUUGUAAACUUCUUUUAUACGGGAAUAACAAGAGCCACGUGUGGCUCCCUGCAUGUACCGUAUGAAUAAGCAUCGGCUAACUCCGUG